UUUCAAGAUCCUGUAGGGAAAAAGAACUUUUUAAAGGCAUCGUUCACAACCUCGUGGAGUUUACGGUCUGUUGAGAUGAUGGACCAGAAUCCCCAAAUUUCCAGGCAGCUCCAGUCUGGCGAGAGAGAAAGGCUGUUCGGUGACCCAGGGGGCCUCUGUGAACCUCCAGCAAGAAAUCACUUUGGCUUCUACUUUUCUGCUUAGAUGGGAAACAGACUCAAGGACGUCAAGGGACUCACUCAAGGCCUUCUGCCAGCAACAGUCAGAGCCAGGACCGAACAUAGCAUUGUCCAAUUCUUUCUCCCAUCAUAUUGUAGAUCCAAUUUCUCAACCCCAGCACCAUUGAUAUUUGUGGCCAGAUAAUGCUUCAUGUGUGGGACUGUCCUGUGCAUUGCAGGAUGUUGAGCAGCACCCCUGGCCUUCCCCCAUCAGAGGUCAGUAGCACCUCUCCCCAAGUUAUGAUGGCCAAAG